CAAAAUGUUUGUUUCUUUUAGGGCAUGUUUGGUUGGGAGGAAUAAGAAUAGGUUAAAGCCUAAUUUAAUGGGUCUACCACUAAACUAAUGUUUGGUUGGCUGUAAUGUCUAUUACGGCUUGCAUUGAUUAUGUUCAUAUUCAUGGAAGAGGCUGUAUACCCAUUCCAUUCCCUCACCAUUGAAUAGUUAUUGAAUAGGAUUUUUUUCCUUUUCAAUUUUUGCCCUCACCUUUUCCCUCCUCCUUCAACGAUAGCCCUUCUCACCUAGCCAUCAUCCUUCCUUCUUCCUUUUGUUUUCCUUCUUCCUUCUUUUUCUUCUUUCAAGGAUUCACUGCUUUUAAUUGGGAUCCAAGUUUGUUGUUAUUGAUAUCUGAUCAAUAUUAUCCUACUCGACAACGGUGGAUUUUGCUACUUCUAUUUAUCUGCGCUUCUUCUCUUGGGUCUCACUUGCAGAUCCACCACUACAACCAAAAUCAAUUUCCUAGCUUUCGUUUCUCUUCUCGAUGGAUCCCACUUCUCGCUCCGCUGUCUUCAUUGACAACGGCACUGGUUAUACUAAGAUGGCAUUUGCAGCUGGGGUAAUGGCAGAUUUUGAUUUCUUUAUUGGAGAUGAAGCACUCACGCAAUCACAAUCAAGCAAUAACUAUAACAUUACCCAUCCCAUUAAGCAUGGCAAACUGGAUAAUUGGGAUGCUAUGGAAUGAUAUUGGCAACAAUGUAUUUUUAAUUAUUUACAGUGUGAUCAUGAGGAUCAUUACUUUUUGUUGACUAAAAGUCCACUUACUCUACUCCCGAGAAUUGAGAAUGUAUGGGUGAAAUCAUGUUUGAGAGGUUUAAUGUUCCAGGGCUUUAUAUUGUUGUGAAUUUUAUCCUUGCUUUAGCUGUUGGGUACACUACAUCUAAGGGGUGCUAGCAGAUGUUGGAGAUGGAGCUACGUGUAUCUUACCUGUUACAGAUGGUUAUGUUAUUGGGAGCAGCAUUAAGUCAAUACCAAUAGCAGGAAAAGAUGUUACUCUUCUUAUAUAGUAACUGAUGUAGGUAUUUUUGUUUGUUUUUCCCAUGACUUGUAAUUUGAAACCAUUGAUUGCUAUUUAUUCAAUUUCAAGUACUUAAGGUUAUUAUCAUGUCUUGAUGAGAAAAAAAUACACUUCUUGGCAUUACUUAGCCCUGUUCAUAGUUGGAUUUAUUGGUGUUCUCAAGUUUUGCACCUAGGCACGCCUAUGCCUUGCGCCUUAGCACUAGGAAACAAAAGCACCUCGACCCUUUCAGACGAGGCGUAUUUGAUCAUGUACACUUCUAGUGCUCUUAACUGCGAUAUUUUUUGUAAAGGCGAUAAACAUAAAAAUGCUUGUCUAAUUGAA